CGGUAUUACAAAGCGCCAGCGCAAGUACACACUAUAGAUUGUUGACCUACAUACUAAAGCAGAGUGUGUAGCAGAUGUAUAGGUUGUAGUUGUGGACGAGGAGGAUAGUGAUCGAAUAUGAUCGGCGGAUGCUAUCCCGGAUGUGGCUCAUUCGUUAGCUUAUUAAUCAAAUCAACAGGGUAACUUGUUGGACAAAGUUAGUAAGAUCGCCAAUA
rnacentral:ncRNA from 2 species